AAAGCAAAUGCGAUUCCCUGAGUAGCGGCGAGCGAAACGGGAACAGCCCAAACCAAGAGGCUUGCCUCUUGGGGUUGUAGGACACUCUAUACGGAGUUACAAAAGGACAGAUUAGGCGAAGCGACCUGGAACGGUCCGCCGCAGCGGGUAACAGCCCCGUAGCCGAAAACCUGUCCCCUCCAGAGUGGAUCCUGAGUACGGCGGAACACGUGAAAUUCCGUCGGAAUCCGGGAGGACCAUCUCCCAAGGCUAAAUACUCCCUAGUGACCGAUAGUGAACCAGUACCGUGAGGGAAAGGUGAAAAGCACCCCGNGCACCCCGGAAGGGGAGUGAAACAGAUCCUGAAACCGUGUGCCUACAAGUAGUCAGAGCCCGUUAAUGGGUGAUGGCGUGCCUUUUGUAGAAUGAACCGGCGAGUUACGAUUGCAUGCAAGGUUAAGGUGAGAAGCCGGAGCCGCAGCGAAAGCGAGUCUGAACAGGGCGACAGAGUAUGCAGUUGUAGACCCGAAACCAGGUGAUCUACCCAUGUCCAGGGUGAAGGUAAGGUAACACUUACUGGAGGCCCGAACCCACGCACGUUGAAAAGUGCGGGGAUGAGGUGUGGGUAGCGGAGAAAUUCCAAUCGA
rnacentral:rRNA from 1 species